rnacentral:misc_RNA from 1 species
UUGCGGCUCCGUCAUGACCAUUUUAAUUUCGCGCACUGACUACCUCGACCACAAUUUUACCGACAGGUCUUGCGUCGUCUUUCGCCGCUGGCGGAGGCGCUGCUUUCAGUUGCGACGCGGCUAACUCAAGCUUGCGUAUCAGAUCCAGCGUACGAAUGAUCAGGUCAGCAUAGUUUGGCGCUACAGCUUUCAAUUCCCGUUUGUCGUAAGGGAUAUCGCGCAUGUCCGUGCCUUGCUUCUGGAUCACUUCCAACGCACCAUCGACCAUGACUU